GACGAACGCUGGCGGCGUGCUUAACACAUGCAAGUCGAACGGAAAGGCCCUGCUUUUGUGGGGUGCUCGAGGGGCGAACGGGUGAGUAACACGUGAGUAACCUGCCCUUGACUUUGGGAUAACUUCAGGAAACUGGGGCUAAUACCGGAUAGGAGCUCCUGCUGCAUGGUGGGGGUUGGAAAGUUUCGGCGGUUGGGGAUGGACUCGCGGCUUAUCAGCUUAUUGGUGGGGUAGUGGCUUACCAAGGCUUUGACGGGUAGCCGGCCUGAGAGGGUGACCGGCCACCUUGGGACUGAGAUACGGCCCAGACUCCUACGGGAGGCAGCAGUGGGGAAUAUUGCACAAUGGGCGGAAGCCUGAUGCAGCAACGCCGCGUGCGGGAUGACGGCCUUCGGGUUGUAAACCGCUUUCGCCUGUGACGAAGCGUGAGUGACGGUAAUGGGUAAAGAAGCACCGGCUAACUACGUG
rnacentral:rRNA from 1 species